CAGAGUUCAUGCCCUAUGGGGUAGAUCUCCCACCCUUGUGUAUUUAUACCAUGUUGCUUUGGCGGGCCGUUGGGCUUCGGCCUGCUCACGGCUCAGGCUGUGGAGUGCCCGCCAGAGGACCCAAAACUCUUGUCAUCAGUGUCGUCUGAGUACUAUAUAAUAGUUA
rnacentral:misc_RNA from 1 species